CAGCAGCGCGGUAAUACAGAGGGUGCGAGCGUUAAUCGGAUUUACUGGGCGUAAAGCGUGCGUAGGCGGCUUCUUAAGUCGGAUGUGAAAUCCCUGAGCUUAACUUAGGAAUUGCAUUCGAUACUGGGAAGCUAGAGUAUGGGAGAGGAUGGUAGAAUUCCAGGUGUAGCGGUGAAAUGCGUAGUGAUCUGGAGGAAUACCGAUGGCGAAGGCAGCCAUCUGGCCUAAUACUGACGCUGAGGUACGAAAGCAUGGGGAGCAAACAGGAUUAGAUACCCCCGUAGUCCCUGUCUCUUAUACA
rnacentral:rRNA from 1 species